rnacentral:rRNA from 1 species
UACGUAGGGUGCAAGCGUUAAUCGGAAUUACUGGGCGUAAAGCGUGCGCAGGCGGCUAUGCAAGACAGAUGUGAAAUCCCCGGGCUCAACCUGGGAACUGCAUUUGUGACUGCAUAGCUAGAGUACGGUAGAGGGGGAUGGAAUUCCGCGUGUAGCAGUGAAAUGCGUAGAUAUGCGGAGGAACACCGAUGGCGAAGGCAAUCCCCUGGACCUGUACUGACGCUCAUGCAC